UGUGGAUGUGCUUCAGUUUUUGUUAUUUUAAGCCUCUUACUGACAAAUUGUUGUUUCAUUUCUUUAGGGUCUGCGGCAGAGGCUUCGAAAAGCGGCUCCCACACAUUGAAGUGCCCCGAGGAGCAGGGUGUGUACAGUGUCGACUUGUCUUUUUUUUCGAACUGAGUUGACUGUUUACCAAACCUCUACAGGUGGCAGCUCCCAUGUAGCUGGUGAAGGAGUUCCUGCUGACUGCGUCUUGCUGGAGGAAACCUUGGGCAGUCGCUCAGUUGUCACAAAGGGAACAUGUGUGACUGGCUGCUCGCAGGAUUGUUCCGACAGCAGUGUCCGAGGUACUGAACAAGCUUCACAAGACUCUCCAGAAGAUGUGUCCUCCAACAGCUCCACGCCUGAGUGCCCUACAGCAAAUGUGCGUUCCUGUGUGCCAGCUGCAAGGUCUCCAUCAAAGAAAUACAAGCAAACCAUUCGACGUCUGCAAGCCAAAGUAGCAGCACAGCGGAAAACUAUCAAAAGACUGCUGAGGCAGCCUCAC